CCUACGGGUGGCAGCAGUGGGGAAUAUUGGACAAUGGGCGAAAGCCUGAUCCAGCCAUGCCGCGUGUGUGAAGAAGGCCUUCGGGUUGUAAAGCACUUUCAGUGGGGAAGAAAGCCUUGGGGCUAAUACCCUCGAGGAAGGACAUCACCCACAGAAGAAGCACCGGCUAACUCCGUGCCAGCAGCCGCGGUAAUACGGAGGGUGCGAGCGUUAAUCGGAAUUACUGGGCGUAAAGCGCGCGUAGGCGGUCUGAUAAGCCGGUUGUGAAAGCCCCGGGCUCAACCUGGGAACGGCAUCCGGAACUGUCAGGCUAGAGUGCAGGAGAGGAAGGUAGAAUUCCCGGUGUAGCGGUGAAAUGCGUAGAGAUCGGGAGGAAUACCAGUGGCGAAGGCGGCCUUCUGGACUGACACUGACGCUGAGGUGCGAAAGCGUGGGUAGCAAACAGGAUUAAUACCCGAGUAGUC
rnacentral:rRNA from 1 species